rnacentral:lncRNA from 1 species
UGUUGGUGUAUGGUGGGGUUGUGUGUGUGUGUGUGGGGUGUGUGUGUGUGUGUGUGUGUGUGUGUGUGUGUGUGGUGUGUAGUCCUGAGAUAGGAGACCUGAGGAAAUUCUGUGAGAAGCACCUGGUUUACUGACUGUUGGGUGAUUUCACUAAUUCUAUCUUAAGGAACCUGAAGAGUCAGGGAACAAUCGUUAUGAGAAGGAGGGAGGAGCCAGGGACCCAUGAGAGACCAAAAGGAGAGCCCUGCACUGGAGCUGGGCCCUGGAGGCCUCAGUCUGUGAGCCAGUUCAUCUAAGCUUUGGCUCAUGUAGCAGCAACAUUCUUCAUUGAGAAAGAGGCGGAUGCCUCCCCUUUCAGCAGUUAGCAAGCCUGGGUUCUUUGGUUUUUCGGGACCACCAAUGCCAGGGAUGUGAGCUGGUUUUGGAGCAGUUGCAGGGCUAAGGUUGAGUUUUGGAUGGUGUCUGCUAGCUGGGUGGAAAUCUGCUGUGAUUCUUACAGACUUUGACAAAUCUGACCACACCUGUGGCAACUGCUGAGGCUACCAAAGUGUCUCCAAUCAUGACCGGAAGAGCCACGUCAGUUCCUGUGCAUGAGUUGGAGGAGGGGGUAGAACUCUCCUUCGGUGUGUAGGGCUGGGGAAGCAACAAACAGGGAAACAAGGACCAUGAGUGGAUUUGCCCAUCUGCUUAGUUGACACCAGAUGAGAUGUUAGUAUGUGCUGACGAAGGGCUGGGAAGGAAGUUAAAGAGGCAGCCGGCUGGUGUCUCCAGAGAGUAGAGAGAUGGGGGUGGGUGAGAGAGAGGAAAUGAUUUGGAGAUUACACAGCUUGGAGGCUAGGGUUAUGUGGGUAAGAGGAAUAGCUCCCUUGAGGGACUGUUGCAGAGGAACACGAAGGAAGCAAGAGGACCCAUUGUUACUGCCACAGGCGUGGAGAAGACCCGGGGAUUCAUUUAGAAUAAUAGUCUUCCAGAAGGCCAGCUUGGGAGAGGUCUCAUGCAGCAUGGAUGAGCAUCCUCCUAAUUACAAGGUUCUUCUGAAGCAGUAUGUUACCUUAGCGCCAGCAGCUCGCACGUCUCACAUGCGACUCCCCCCACGUCACUGGAACUCUUCCAAGAGCCACAUGGAGUGGCUGGCCCAUUGA